UACGUAGGGACCAAGCGUUGUUCGGAUUUACUGGGCGUAAAGGGCGCGUAGGUGGCCCGGUCAGUUCGUGGUGAAAGCGCGGGGCUCAACCCUGCGUCGGCCAUGAAUACUGCCGCGGCUGGAGCACUGUAGAGGCAGGCGGAAUUCCGGGUGUAGCGGUGGAAUGCGUAGAGAUCCGGAAGAACACCGGUGGCGAAGGCGGCCUGCUGGGCAGUUGCUGACACUGAGGCGCGACAGCGUGGGGAGCAAACCGG
rnacentral:rRNA from 1 species